rnacentral:rRNA from 1 species
AUUGAACGCUGGCGGCAGGCCUAACACAUGCAAGUCGAACGGUAACAGGAAGAAGCUUGCUUCUUUGCUGACGAGUGGCGGACGGGUGAGUAAUGUCUGGGAAACUGCCUGAUGGAGGGGGAUAACUACUGGAAACGGUAGCUAAUACCGCAUAACGUCGCAAGACCAAAGAGGGGGACCUUCGGGCCUCUUGCCAUCGGAUGUGCCCAGAUGGGAUUAGCUAGUAGGUGGGGUAACGGCUCACCUAGGCGACGAUCCCUAGCUGGUCUGAGAGGAUGACCAGCCACACGGGAACUGAGACACGGUCCAGACUCCUACGGGAGGCAGCAGUGGGGAAUAUUGCACAAUGGGCGCAAGCCUGAUGCAGCCAUGCCGCGUGUAUGAAGUAGGCCUUCGGGUUGUAAAGUACUUUCAGCGGGGAGGAAGGGAGUAAAGUUAAUACCUUUACUCAUUGACGUUACCCGCAGAAGAAGCACCGGCUAACUCCGUG